GCAAUACCUGUGUAGAGGUCAAGGAGUAAACAUUCUCUGAAGGUCAUAUACACAACCAUCCAUUUUGAGGAGGACGAGGAGGAGGAGAGAGCGAUACGAUGAAGCGACCUCAUGACUACAGCUCUCCUGAAUCAGAGGCGGAAGAGCUGAUCGAUGUGGGCCAAGAGGACGGCUUCUGAUCAUCGAGAAGAGACGGCGUGACCGGAUCAACCACAGCCUGUCUGAGCUCAGGAGAC
rnacentral:lncRNA from 1 species